rnacentral:rRNA from 1 species
CCUUGAAAUUUUAUAAUUCUAAAGUAGUAAGAUUGAAACUUAAAAAUUUUGACAGUAUUUAAUUUUCUAAAGGAAUAUGUAAUUUUAUCGAAAAUACACGAAAAUCUUACUUAUUUUAUUUUUGUAUAUCUCCGUUGACAGAUUUUUAUAAAAAUAAAAAUAAUUUUCUAAAAAUAAAAUAUUUAACAUCAGGUCAAGGUGCAAUAUAAAUAAGUUAUUAUGUAUUACAAUCAAAUUUAUUGAAAUGAAUAAAUAAUUGAAAUCAUUAUUUUAAAAAUGAAUUUAUAAGUAAAAUAAAAAAUUAAUUUUAUUUGAAAUAUUAUUGAAUAUGU